rnacentral:lncRNA from 1 species
AAUUUUAAUUUCCAUCCAAGAUGCAGGAAGCUCAACUGCUCUCACAUUUGCUUUGCUGAUGAUUUGUUGCUAUUCUGUAGAGCUGAUAUUACAUCUAUCCAACUGUUACAGGCUGCAUUUUUAUCCUUCUCUUCUGCUUCUGGACUUUUAGCAAACAAUUCCAAGAGUGCUGUAUACUUUGCAGGCAUUUCUCAAUCUGAGAAAGCAGCUAU